rnacentral:hammerhead_ribozyme from 1 species
AUUCAACUGAUGAGUCCAAAAUAGGAUGGAACGCACAUCCUGGAU